UACCUGUUUUGAGUGGACUUGCCUCACCC
rnacentral:piRNA from 1 species